CAGCAGCCACGGUAAUACGUAGGUCCCGAGCGUUGUCCGGAUUUAUUGGGCGUAAAGGGAGCGCAGGCGGUUUAGUAAGUCUGGAGUUAAAGGCAUUGGCUCAACCAAUGUAUGCUUUGGAAACUGUUUGACUUGAGUGCAGAAGGGGAGAGUGGAAUUCCAUGUGUAGCGGAGAAAUGCGCAGAUAUAUGGAGGAACACCGGCGGCGAAAGCGGCUCUCUGGUCUGUCACUGACGCUGAGGCUCGAAAGCGUGGGUAGCGAACAGGAUUAGAUACCCCAGUAGUCCCUGUCUCUUAUACA
rnacentral:rRNA from 1 species